GACGUAGGGCGCAAGCGUUGUCCGGAUUUAUUGGGCGUAAAGAGCUCGUAGGCGGCCUGUCGCGUCGACCGUGAAAACCCGCAGCUCAACUGCGGGCUUGCGGUCGAUACGGGCAGGCUGGAGUUCGGUAGGGGAGACUGGAAUUCCUGGUGUGAGCGGUGAAAUGCGCAGAUAUCAGGAGGAACACCGGUGGCGAAGGCGGGUCUCUGGGCCGAUACUGACGCUGAGGAGCGAAAGCGUGGGGAGCGAACAGG
rnacentral:rRNA from 1 species